CUGGGAUUGAACUGAUGAGGCCACAGUAAGGGAGUAGAGCUAAGUGGAGCACAAGGAAGAACUUGGAAGUAGCCAGAGUUGUCCUGUAAUGGAAAUGGGCCACUCCACAGAUUGUGACGAGAGUUCCCAGCUCAGUCUUCAUUCCUUAUUGGGCUUUUCAUGCACAAUAUUGGAGUACAUUAAAUGACCCUCAUGAGAAGUUCCAGGAAAAUAUGCCUUGCUGAUUUAUGGGCCUGCCUCCCGGAAACCUGGGUUUCAAGAAAUCCUGGACGUUGACAAGCGGUCUGACAUAGUGACUAAGAGCCUGAACUCCACAGUCAGACUCCCUGGGCUUCAACACUGGUCCCACCAUUUAUUCUUCAUGUGACCUUGGGAAAGUGUCCUUGGUUUUCUUAUAUGUAAAUUAGGAAAAGUGAUAGUACUUCUGCAGAGGAUAAUUGUGACAAGUAAGUAAGCUAUCAUGUGUAAAGUGCUUUACAAUAAAUGCUAGCCAUUAUUACUGCCUCCACAGACAGAACGUUGUUAGAUCAAGUAAGAGUUGGGUCCCAGGAGACCCAACGAACAAAUGCGAGAUUUGCACAGGUGCGCCUCACAGGGUCACACUGUGCGCGGUGUAACCAGUGUACAGUGGGCAUGAUAGGGUUCCGCAGGAAAACCAAGUACGCCUUGGCUAUUGGAGGAGUGGAUAUUUGCUAACGCUGAAUAGCAAGUCCAACCUGAAAGAGGCGAUUUACCUUGGAAGGGUCCUGGCCCACUUAGCCAGAGGCAGUUCGAGGAGAUACAGUGGGCCCAGCAAAGACCCAGUCCCUUGGUGAAGUGGACAGCAGGAAUUUUACAGAAUGUUCUUUGGGCGUUUGGCAGGGCUCAAAUCUGUGCAGUAGCCCGCAGGGACAGCUAGAGCAGUUGGGGACGAGGAAUGUGCUUUAUGAGCGAGCUUAGUGGAAGGGCUGGCAGACAAGUGGUGUGGUUCCCAGGUCAAGACGGUGGUUGGUUUAGAGCCAGGAUGAGGACAGAGGAUUCGAACAUGGUCAGUGCAGAGACAUCUGCUUGGAAGAGGCUCCCAUGCUCACCACAGGGGCGCGGGGCGAAGCCCCCCAGCCCCCCGGCAGGAGAGUGAGCAGGACUUAACUCCCCAGCUGCCGGCACACAGCGCUCAGAGGUGGGUUCUCUGGAAUCACCUCGGCUGAGCUGCGUCGCUCGGGGUCACACCCCUUCCCAGGACAGCCUGAUCCGGGCCCCAGCCCUCGCAGAGGUACCAAGGUCCAGCCGCUUUGCCCCAGCUCCGGACAGCCCUGAGUUAUCCGUCUUCGGAACCGCACCCCCACCCCGCAAAGGCAGCUAAGGCUCCUGAGAAGACUGCGCUGAGGCUUAACCGGUCACCCCGUCCGAUCCCGCUCUCCGCCGCGGAGGGGGACCCCAAGAGCACUCCCCCAGACGUGCCCCCCACGGUAACCGCCGCCUCAGAGUCUGCUUCCUGCGCGGCCCUGAUCCUCGCCUCAGGAGCCACGCGCUCCCGCGUCGCCUAGCCUGUCGGCGUCACGUGACGCUUCCGGUGGAAGGGAAGUCUCAGGGGCCUCCCGGGCCCUCAGAGGCCGCUCGUCUGAGGUGGCGCCCGCGCUGCGUGGAGGAGACUUGCAGGCUCUGAUGUGAAUAUGAUGGCCGGAGCUCCGGCAGCCAUCCUGUAACCCCAAGAACAGAAGCUGUUCAUUAAGCAUUCUCAAGACUGCACAGAAGGAAACUCUUAGAAGAAUUCAGAUCAGAGACCACGUUUGACAAGUAACAACUGAUGGGAUGUACACAUCCAGUCCAGAUGACAAACUCUGUGAGGGUAGGGCCCAUGGCCCUUUGCAUUUCUCAGCCCAAAGCACCAUGACUGACACAAAGGAGGAAACUGUGUGAAUGAAUGAAUGAACAAAUGAGUGAACUGAAUUUUCAAAUACAGGCUGCCUAACGAGCUUUUUAAUGUUUUCCCCGGAGAGCUGCAAUUUGCAACAGAAAAUACAACAUAGCAAAAACCAUACUGCGUCUCUUCCGUUGCCACCUGCCUCCUGAACCUUACAUUUUGCCCUGAAGUUAAGUCCUUUAAAGGACUGAUUUUCCAUCUGGCCUAACCAGAGCCCGAAGUUGCUGAAUCAAGCAGAGCCAACAGGUCUGACUUGAGCUGGCUGGAACACGCACAGAACUGGGAGAGACAAAUAGGCUUCUUUCUGAAAGGCCUAUCAGGCAGAAGCCUGUGCCUCCCUCCUGCCUGCCUGCCUCAGAGCGCAGCCCUGAGAGAGAGCACAUCCAGCCCCUCCAAUACCACUGCCCAGGGAGCAGUAGCAGGCCUGGGGGAGUGUCCGUCCAAGAAGCUGGCUGUGUGUGAAGAGGAAGGAGGCCAUUAUUAAGUGCAAGAACAUUGUCACACGGACCUGGUUCCCCUCCCAGAGUCCUGGGCCGCCAGGGCCAGAGAAGGCUAGGUGGUCAACUGAUUUCCAGCAGCCCCAGAAAAACAUGGAGGAGUGCAAGUUUCUCCACACACAAGAGGGGCUCAGGAGUAGCGGAGCACCCAUCGACCUUGGAAGUAUCUGACAGAAGUGAUGAAGAGACAUUGCAGCAGAAAGCAGCCAGACCAAGCAGGGUCAUGGACAUUUUCAGAAUGCCAGAAGCCAGAGGUGGGCUGCAUCCCAGGAGAGGCAGCCCUUGCCAGGCUGCCACCUAGGUCCCCCAUGCUAGCAGAGAUGGAAAACAAGAGAGAAAAUCCAGAAUCAACUGAACUUCGAUGAAAAGACAGAAACACAGAGGUUUUGUAGAAAUGAGUAAGAUUGCGUGUUCUAACAUUAAGCCCAUGAAGUGUCAUUACAGAAAAUCAUGUGCUAUUUCUUGGAUACCCAAGCUUGUGGCUUAAGAAAAUGUGAACCUGGCCAUACUCUUGCUCUUCGUAUACUUGUCCCCAGUUUUCACGUCCUACAGAGGGAAGGGGCAGUUUGGGUUUAAUGUGUCUCUCAGCAGCUCAAGAGGUGACCACAGCCAUGCAUUGUGAAGUGACAGCCCCAGCAAGCCUCCUAGACGAGAGGUCAGAAAAUAUUUCCUUUCAAGGGCCCGGUAAUACAUAGUUUAGGCUUUGUAAACUCUACGGUCUCUGCUGCGGUCCUCCAGCUCCAUCACCACAGCACGAAAAGCAGUCAUAGACAGCAAAGG